AUGGAACCCCAGGCGGCGACAGGCCCGGAGCCCGAGGAGGGUGCAUUGGAUGCGUGCGCCCUGCUGAUUGCGGGUGGACCACCUGAUGGGAAUCAUGCGGUGGAGCCCUGCAUGGAGGCAGCUGAGAUUUCGAUGGUGGUACCCGCACCGGAGGAAGAGGCAGGCUAUUUGCCUCCAACGCUGGGGGCGACCGCGCACUCGUGCAUGCAGAUGAACCCCACUCAUGUUCGUGCGACACAAGUGCUAGGAUCAUUGGAGACCCCGGACGUGGGAGGCGACAGGCAAAUUGUGCAAGGAUCAUUGGAGGUUCCGGACGUGGGAGGCGACAUGCAAACAAUGCAAGGAUCUUUGGGGGUACCGGACGUGGAAGGCGACAUGCAAACAGUGCAAGGAUCGUUGGAGACCCCCGACGUGGUGGGAGGCGGCAUGCAAACUAUGCAAGGGCUAGAUGUGGUGGGAAUGAGGCCACAGGAGGUGGUUGCUUUUGACAAACUAAAAUGGUUUUGCUCUAGCCUGGUCAAGAAGCUAGCACCACCACUUCUUAAGGAAGUGCAAGCGUCGGGCCUUCGGCCAGAGGCGGAGCCAUUUACACCGCGACGUACCACGUGCGCAACGAAGCGAGCGCCACAGAGCAAGCAAGGAAAGGCUACUCCAGCUGAGAACGUCCUUAUGCAUGCGCUCGGGCUGAUGCCCCAAGACCUGGAGGUAGACGAGGCAAUAGUGGAUGAGUUGCAGCAGCUCUUUGACUCCCCUCUGCGUACUCAGCAUGUCAGGGUGAUCGCCGCGUUAUUUGGGAAGGAGUUGCCGACUGGGAGUGAGCUGCACAGCGAGGCGGGACUGUCGGUCGUCGCGCACUAA
rnacentral:rRNA from 1 species